UCGGCACACAAAUGGCGGCGAUAAAUCGAUAAAUCGAUUCGAUCAGUUGUCGAUUUCGUUUGUUGAUCGUUAUAUCAGAAGAAGUGUAUUACAUGUAGGUAGGAGAAAUAGCUUGUUAUGAAGUUAUCGUGGUUUCCAGCAAGGACAUAGUCAGACACAGUAUAACACAGUGAAUCAUUACAUCCUUGUUAUUUGCCUACGUUAAACAAGAAUGAAACGAUUCCUUGUGUUACACAGUGUCUGAUUGUGUCCUUAUUGGAAAGUACCCUUGUUUUUACAUUUA